UACAGAGGGUGCGAGCGUUGUCCGGAAUCACUGGGCGUAAAGGGCGCGUAGGUGGCGGCAUAAGGCCGUGGUGAAAGUCUGGGGCUCAACCCCAGAUCGGCCGCGGCGACUGUGUCGCUAGGGCACCGUAGAGGCAGAUGGAAUUCCCGGUGGAGCGGUGAAAUGCGUAGAGAUACGGGAAGAACGCCGGCGGCGAAAGCGACUCUCUGGUCGGAAGUCUGACGGCUGAGGUGCGAAAGCUAGGGGAGCAAACGGG
rnacentral:rRNA from 1 species